rnacentral:rRNA from 1 species
GGUAGUGUAGUUAACACCUGCACUAUUUGACGUUACCUACACGAAGAAGCAACCCGGCUAACUACCGUGCCAGCAGCCGCGGUAAUACGGAGGGUGCGAGCGUUAAUCGGAAUUACUGGGCGUAAAGCGCAUGCAGGCGGCCUGUUAAGUCAGAUGUGAAAGACCCGGGGCGUUAACCUCGGAAUUGCAUUUGUAAACUAGGCAGGCUAGAGUCUUGUAGAGGGGGGUAGGAAGUUUCAGGUGUAGCGGUGAAAUAGCGUAGAGAUCUGAAGGAAUACCAGUGGCGAAGGCGGCCCCCUCGGACAAAGACUGACGCUCAGAUGCGAAAGCGUGGGGAGCAAACAGGAUUAGAUACCCCUGGUAG